rnacentral:rRNA from 1 species
UCGGACGGGUGAGUAACGCGUGAGAAUCUACCCUUAGGAUGGGGACAACAGUUGGAAACGACUGCUAAUACCCGAUGUGCCGAGAGGUAAAACUUAUAUGGCCUGAGGAAGAGCUCGCGUCUGAUUGGCUAGUUGGUAGUGUAAGGGACUACCAAGGCGACGAUCAGUAGCUGGUCUGAGAGGAUGAUCAGCCACACUGGGACUGAGACACGGCCCAGACUCCUACGGGAGGCAGCAGUGGGGAAUUUUCCGCAAUGGGCGAAAGCCUGACGGAGCAAGACCGCGUGAGGGAGGAAGGCCUACUGGUUGUAAACCUCUUUUGAUAGGGAAGAACACAAUGACGGUACCUAUCGAAUCAGCCUCGGCUAACUCCGUGCCAGCAGCCGCGGUAAUACGGAGGAGGCAAGCGUUAUCCGGAAUUAUUGGGCGUAAAGCGUCCGUAGGUGGUUAUCCAAGUCAGUUGUUAAAGCGUAGAGCUUAACUCUAUAAGGGCAAUUGAAACUGGGUGGCUAGAGUGCGAUAGGGGCAAGGGGAAUUCCCAGUGUAGCGGUGAAAUGCGUAGAUAUUGGGAAGAACAUCGGUGGCGAAGGCGCCUUGCUGGGUCUGCACUGACACUGAGGGACGAAAGCUAGGGGAGCGAAAGGGAUUAGAUACCCCUGUAGUC